CAUACAUUUUUCUUGACUUUAAUUGCUCAUACAUCUUUAUGCUAAUAUUGUCAUUGUUUGGAGCUUCACUGAUAGGUUGUGGUGUUGUGCUGAAAGAUAAGGAUACUCAUGUUUCUAGCUAACAAAGUGGAAAAGAAGACAAAGUUGCAAUGUUAUUUCUAGUGUUUUAUUCAGAUUAUGUCGUUGUUGUUGUACAUUAUUGACACAUUGGAUGUCAAAAAUAAAUGAACAUUGGACAUGUACUUUUGUAAGUGUUUCAUUGUAGUAUUUUGAUGGCAAUCAGCAACAGUUA
rnacentral:lncRNA from 1 species